rnacentral:rRNA from 1 species
AUUGAACGCUGGCGGCAGGCCUAACACAUGCAAGUCGAGCGAGCGGCGGACGGGUGAGUAAUGUAUGGGGACUGCCCGAUAGAGGGGGAUAACUCCUGGAAACGGUGGCUAAUACCGCAUACUAUCGGAUAACCCAUAUGGGAUUAGCUAGUAGGUGGGGUAAAGGCUCACUGAGGCGACGAUCUCUGGCUGGUCUGAGAGGAGGAUCAGCCAGAAUUGACCAGAGACACGGUCCAGACUCCUACGGAGGGAGGAGUGGGGAAUAUUGCACAAUUGGCGCAAGCCUGAUGCAGCCAUGCCGCGGGUAUGAAGAAGGCCUUAGGGUUGUAAAGUACUUUCAGCGGGGAAGCGUUACACGCAGAAGAAGCACCGGCUAACUCCGUGCCAGCAGCCGCGGUAAUUC